UGAUUGGGCAGUUUUUUGUGA
ensembl:piRNA 21ur-14844 ncRNA